UACAGAGGUCUCAAGCGUUGUUCGGAUUCAUUGGGCGUAAAGGGUGCGUAGGCGGGUCUUUAAGUCAGGGGUGAAAUCCUGGAGCUCAACUCCAGAACUGCCUUUGAUACUGAGGAUCUUGAGUUCGGGAGAGGUGAGUGGAACUGCGAGUGUAGAGGUGAAAUUCGUAGAUAUUCGCAAGAACACCAGUGGCGAAGGCGGCUCACUGGCCCGAUACUGACGCUGAUGCACGAAAGCGUGGGGAGCAAACAGG
rnacentral:rRNA from 1 species